rnacentral:rRNA from 1 species
CCUACGGGGGGCAGCAGUGGGGAAUAUUGGACAAUGGGGGGAACCCUGAUCCAGCCAUGCCGCGUGUGUGAAGAAGGCCCUCGGGUUGUAAAGCACUUUCAGUGAGGAAGAACGCCUGGUGGUUAAUACCCAUCAGGAAAGACAUCACUCACAGAAGAAGCACCGGCUAACUCCGUGCCAGCAGCCGCGGUAAUACGGAGGGUGCGAGCGUUAAUCGGAAUUACUGGGCGUAAAGCGCGCGUAGGUGGCUUGAUAAGCCGGUUGUGAAAGCCCCGGGCUCAACCUGGGAACGGCAUCCGGAACUGUCAAGCUAGAGUGCAGGAGAGGAAGGUAGAAUUCCCGGUGUAGCGGUGAAAUGCGUAGAGAUCGGGAGGAAUACCAGUGGCGAAGGCGGCCUUCUGGACUGACACUGACACUGAGGUGCGAAAGCGCGGGUAGCAAACAGGAUUAGAUACCCCGGUAGUC